rnacentral:rRNA from 1 species
UACGGAGGGUGCGAGCGUUGUCCGGAAUCACUGGGCGUAAAGGGCGCGUAGGCGGCCUGAUAAGUAGGGGGUGAAAUCCUGCGGCUUAACCGCAGGGCUGCCUUCUAAACUGUCAGGCUGGAGCACAGUAGAGGCAGGUGGAAUUCCCGGUGUAGCGGUGGAAUGCGUAGAGAUCGGGAGGAACACCCGUAGCGAAGGCGGCCGACUGGACCAUACUUGACGCUGAGGCGCGAAGGCCAGGGGAGCGAACGGG